rnacentral:tRNA from 1 species
GGGGUUGUGGCUCAGUGGUAGAGCACUUGCCUAGCAUGUGUGAGGCCCUGGGUUCGAUCCUUAGCACCA